rnacentral:rRNA from 1 species
UACAGGGGGGUGCAAACGUUGCUCGGAAUCAUUGGGCGUAAAGCGCGUGUAGGCGGCCAGGUAGGUCCGUUGUGAAAGCUCGAGGCUCAACCUCGAGACGUCGACGGAAACCAUCUGGCUAGAGUCCGGAAGAGGAGAGUGGAAUUCCUGGUGUAGCGGUGAAAUGCGUAGAUAUCGGGAGGAACACCAGUGGCGAAGGGCGACUACCUGGCCUGUUCUUGACGCUGAGGCGCGAAAGCUAGGGGAGCAAC